rnacentral:rRNA from 1 species
UACGGAGGGGGCUAGCGUUGUUCGGAAUUACUGGGCGUAAAGCGCGCGUAGGCGGAUCUGCAAGUCGGGGGUGAAAUCCCGAGGCUCAACCUCGGAACUGCCUUCGAUACUGCGGGUCUCGAGUCCGGGAGAGGUGAGUGGAAUUCCUAGUGUAGAGGUGAAAUUCGUAGAUAUUAGGAAGAACACCAGUGGCGAAGGCGGCGCACUGGCCCGGUACUGACGCUGAGGCGCGAAAGCGUGGGGAGCAAACAGG